UGGGGAAUUUUGGACAAUGGGCGAAAGCCUGAUCCAGCAAUGCCGCGUGUGUGAAGAAGGCCUUCGGGUUGUAAAGCACUUUUGUCCGGAAAGAAAUCCUUGGCUCUAAUACAGUCGGGGGAUGACGGUACCGGAAGAAUAAGCACCGGCUAACUACGUGCCAGCAGCCGCGGUAAUACGUAGGGUGCAAGCGUUAAUCGGAAUUACUGGGCGUAAAGCGUGCGCAGGCGGUUUGCUAAGACCGAUGUGAAAUCCCCGGGCUCAACCUGGGAACUGCAUUGGUGACUGGCAGGCUAGAGUAUGGCAGAGGGGGGUAGAAUUCCACGUGUAGCAGUGAAAUGCGUAGAGAUGUGGAGGAAUACCGAUGGCGAAGGCAGCCCCCUGGGCCAAUACUGACGCUCAUGCACGAAAGCGUGGGGAGCAAACAGGAUUAGAUACCCUGGUAGUCCACGCCCUAAACGAUGUCAACUAGUUGUUGGGGAUUCAUUUCCUUAGUAACGUAGCUAAGCGUGAAGUUGACCGCCUGGGGAGUACGGUCGCAAGAUUAAAACUUAAAUGAAUUGAC
rnacentral:rRNA from 1 species